CGCGGAGUAGAGCAGUUGGUAGCUCGUCGGGCUCAUAACCCGGAGGUCAGAGGUUCAAGUCCUCUCUCCGCAACCA
rnacentral:tRNA from 4 species